rnacentral:rRNA from 1 species
ACGGGUGAGUAACGCGUGAGAAUCUAGCUCUAGGUCGGGGACAACAGUUGGAAACGACUGCUAAUACCGGAUGUGCCGGAAGGUGAAAGAUUAAUUGCCUAGAGAUGAGCUCGCGUCUGAUUAGCUAGUUGGUGGGGUAAGAGCCUACCAAGGCGACGAUCAGUAGCUGGUCUGAGAGGAUGAUCAGCCACACUGGGACUGAGACACGGCCCAGACUCCUACGGGAGGCAGCAGUGGGGAAUUUUCCGCAAUGGGCGAAAGCCUGACGGAGCAAUACCGCGUGAGGGAGGAAGGCUCUUGGGUCGUAAACCUCUUUUCUCAGGGAAGAAAAAAAUGACGGUACCUGAGGAAUCAGCAUCGGCUAACUCCGUGCCAGCAGCCGCGGUAAUACGGAGGAUGCAAGCGUUAUCCGGAAUGAUUGGGCGUAAAGCGUCCGCAGGUGGCUGUGUAAGUCUGCUGUUAAAGAAUGAGGCUCAACCUCAUCAAAGCAGUGGAAACUACACGGCUAGAGUGCGUUCGGGGCAGAGGGAAUUCCUGGUGU